CUGUGAUGCUGGACAGGAGCUGACAGCCGGGAUCUGGGAGCAAUACCUUCAGGAUAGCACAGCAAGGUUUAGCUGGGCUUGAUCUGCAGUGGUGUAGAGGCUGCAAAGGAGGGGCGAUUUUGUUAUGUGAGAAAUAAGCCCACCUACUUGUGGGGACUCAAGAUGACUUGUUUGGAUUCUGCAUAUGCAAAUUGAAGAUCUCCUCCUCUUCUUGAGAGUUCCAAGACCCACAACUCACUUUUGCCCGUGCUGAGACAUGGCCCCAGCCAGAAGGAAUUUACAGUCCAGUCAAAACUGCCUAGAAGUGUGACAGCAGCUGAGUUGGAGGGAGGCAGCUGAACCAAGAAAACCUUAUCAGCACUAUUUGAAACUUUUAUCUCAUCUGGCUUGGCGCCUGAGGUUCUCCCAUUAGGAAAUUGAAGGCGUGUGGGAGAGCAUAUGGAACAUUCCUUCAAAUGCAUUUGGUCAUAGAAGCCUUUACUG
rnacentral:lncRNA from 10 species